CAUGCAAGUCGAGCGGAAACGAGUUAUCUGAACCUUCGGGGGACGAUAACGGCGUCGAGCGGCGGACGGGUGAGUAAUGCCUAGGAAAUUGCCCUGAUGUGGGGGAUAACCAUUGGAAACGAUGGCUAAUACCGCAUGAUGCCUACGGGCCAAAGAGGGGGACCUUCGGGCCUCUCGCGUCAGGAUAUGCCUAGGUGGGAUUAGCUAGUUGGUGAGGUAAGGGCUCACCAAGGCGACGAUCCCUAGCUGGUCUGAGAGGAUGAUCAGCCACACUGGAACUGAGACACGGUCCAGACUCCUACGGGAGGCAGCAGUGGGGAAUAUUGCACAAUGGGCGCAAGCCUGAUGCAGCCAUGCCGCGUGUGUGAAGAAGGCCUUCGGGUUGUAAAGCACUUUCAGUCGUGAGGAAGGUAGUGUAGUUAAUAGCUGCAUUAUUUGACGUUAGCGACAGAAGAAGCACCGGCUAACUCCGUGCCAGCAGCCGCGGUAAUACGGAGGGUGCGAGCGUUAAUCGGAAUUACUGGGCGUAAAGCGCAUGCAGGUGGUUUGUUAAGUCAGAUGUGAAAGCCCGGGGCUCAACCUCGGAAUUGCAUUUGAAACUGGCAGACUAGAGUACUGUAGAGGGGGGUAGAAUUUCAGGUGUAGCGGUGAAAUGCGUAGAGAUCUGAAGGAAUACCGGUGGCGAAGGCGGCCCCCUGGACAGAUACUGACACUCAGAUGCGAAAGCGUGGGGAGCAAACAGGAUUAGAUACCCUGGUAGUCCACGCCGUAAACGAUGUCUACUUGGAGGUUGUGGCCUUGAGCCGUGGCUUUCGGAGCUAACGCGUUAAGUAGACCGCCUGGGGAGUACGGUCGCAAGAUUAAAACUCAAAUGAAUUGACGGGGGCCCGCACAAGCGGUGGAGCAUGUGGUUUAAUUCGAUGCAACGCGAAGAACCUUACCUACUCUUGACAUCCAGAGAACUUUCCAGAGAUGGAUUGGUGCCUUCGGGAACUCUGAGACAGGUGCUGCAUGGCUGUCGUCAGCUCGUGUUGUGAAAUGUUGGGUUAAGUCCCGCAACGAGCGCAACCCUUAUCCUUGUUUGCCAGCGAGUAAUGUCGGGAACUCCAGGGAGACUGCCGGUGAUAAACCGGAGGAAGGUGGGGACGACGUCAAGUCAUCAUGGCCCUUACGAGUAGGGCUACACACGUGCUACAAUGGCGCAUACAGAGGGCGGCCAACUUGCGAAAGUGAGCGAAUCCCAAAAAGUGCGUCGUAGUCCGGAUUGGAGUCUGCAACUCGACUCCAUGAAGUCGGAAUCGCUAGUAAUCGUGGAUCAGAAUGCCACGGUGAAUACGUUCCCGGGCCUUGUACACACCGCCCGUCACACCAUGGGAGUGGGCUGCAAAAGAAGUAGGUAGUUUAACCUUCGGGGGGACGCU
rnacentral:rRNA from 1 species